CCAAGAAACCAGUUCCUGCCCCACCUCCUCGGGCCUUGCUGGACCUCCUGUGCACCAGACAUCUUCAGACUCCAGUCUAGCCACUGGGAACACAUCAUAAGGGGUGAAGAAUGGGGUGGGGUGGGGAAGACCAUUACCAUCUCACUCCAGCACCUGACCUUUGUCUAUGACACCCCUCUGGGGGUGGGGGCAGGUCACAGAGGCUGAGUAGGGCACAGGGGUGGGGGGCAGAGGGGGGAGUGUUGACCCUCUACCCUCUCCCUCCCUCCCAUCCUCCCCUCCUUUUUGCUUUCCUUCUUUGUACUUACUUUUAAAAGUCUAAUUAGGUGAGAGUAAAAUAAAUGAAUUUCGAGGCUUUCCCUGACUUUGCAAUUAAAGUUUGCAAAUUAAAUAUUUCAAAGACUGUUCCGUUGCUCUUCCUCCUCCUCCUCUUCUGCCUUCAGAACUUUUCCAGCAAGUUAGACCUCUGACCCCUGGCUGGUGAUGGGAUCCUUGGACUUGAACCGCAAGGCAGAUGCUUUAUCUCAUCCUUUGAUUGCCAACAUAACUUUCCGUUGAUUUUAUAGAAACAGAAGUUUUAUUGGAACAGGGAACAAGUUAUGGCUUCCCACCGCACUUCAGAAACAACCUCGCUUUGAUUAGUCAUUCAGCUCCCAUAGAUUUACUAUUGGCAAAAGGACACUUUAAUUAUAAAGAAAGAAAAUAGAAAAACUGUCUUUUCUGCAACGUUUCUUUCUGGAACCAGUGAAACCCCAGGUAGAACUCUGGGAGUUAAAUGAGAACAGCACAGCAGUCUUUCAUCCUUUUGCAGAUUUAAAAGACAAGGGAAUUAAAAGUGCACUUAUUAGAGGAAAGCUGAACACCUGUUUUCUCCUUUUUUUUUUUUUUUUUUUUUUUUUUUGUGCUCAAACAGGAGAUCUGGGGUUCCCUCUGCUGGCAGACUUCCCGGAGACCUUCCAGCCCAGGAUCACUCCUAUGGUGGAUGUGAUGGGUGGACGAUGUACUGGAUGGGAAGCUAUCCAAGUCCGACACACCUGUUGGAAGGGCUCUGCACUCCCUGAGACCUAGAGGUUUAGGAGCGCAGUUGACUGGUGAGAGCGCCAUGGUCCUCACUGAGUGCCAGCCUAGCAAAAUCAUUCCCACCUCGAGACUCCAAGACUCCGUCUUUUCUCUACACCUCUGAGGGCUCCGGGCCACAAGCCUCAG
rnacentral:lncRNA from 12 species